UGGGGAAUUUUGGACAAUGGGCGCAAGCCUGAUCCAGCCAUGCCGCGUGCGGGAAGAAGGCCUUCGGGUUGUAAACCGCUUUUGUCAGGGAAGAAAUCUUCUGAGUUAAUACCUCGGGAGGAUGACGGUACCUGAAGAAUAAGCACCGGCUAACUACGUGCCAGCAGCCGCGGUAAUACGUAGGGUGCAAGCGUUAAUCGGAAUUACUGGGCGUAAAGCGUGCGCAGGCGGUUUUGUAAGACAGAGGUGAAAUCCCCGGGCUCAACCUGGGAACUGCCUUUGUGACUGCAAGGCUUGAGUGCGGCAGAGGGGGAUGGAAUUCCGCGUGUAGCAGUGAAAUGCGUAGAUAUGCGGAGGAACACCGAUGGCGAAGGCAAUCCCCUGGGCCUGCACUGACGCUCAUGCACGAAAGCGUGGGGAGCAAACAGGAUUAGAUACCCUGGUAGUCCACGCCCUAAACCGAUGUCAACUGGUUGUUGGGAAGGUUCCUUCUCAGCAACGUAGCUAACGCGUGAAGUUGACCGCCUGGGGAGUACGGCCGCAAGGUUG
rnacentral:rRNA from 1 species